rnacentral:rRNA from 1 species
GCGGCGUGCUAUACAUGCAAGUAGAACGCUGAAGACUUUAGCUUGCUAAAGUUGGAAGAGUUGCGAACGGGUGAGUAACGCGUAGGUAACCUGCCUACUAGCGGGGGAUAACUAUUGGAAACGAUAGCUAAUACCGCAUAACAGCAUUUAACCCAUGUUAGAUGCUUGAAAGGAGCAAUUGCUUCACUAGUAGAUGGACCUGCGUUGUAUUAGCUAGUUGGUGAGGUAACGGCUCACCAAGGCGACGAUACAUAGCCAACCUGAGAGGGUGAUCGGCCACACUGGGACUGAGACACGGCCCAGACUCCUACGGGAGGCAGCAGUAGGGAAUCUUCGGCAAUGGGGGCAACCCUGACCGAGCAACGCCGCGUGAGUGAAGAAGGUUUUCGGAUCGUAAAGCUCUGUUGUAAGAGAAGAACGUGUGUGAGAGUGGAAAGUUCACACAGUGACGGUAACUUACCAGAAAGGGACGGCUAACUACGUGCCAGCAGCCGCGGUAAUACGUAGGUCCCGAGCGUUGUCCGGAUUUAUUGGGCGUAAAGCGAGCGCAGGCGGUUUAAUAAGUCUGAAGUUAAAGGCAGUGGCUUAACCAUUGUUCGCUUUGGAAACUGUUAGACUUGAGUGCAGAAGGGGAGAGUGGAAUUCCAUGUGUAGCGGUGAAAUGCGUAGAUAUAUGGAGGAACACCGGUGGCGAAAGCGGCUCUCUGGUCUGUAACUGACGCUGAGGCUCGAAAGCGUGGGGAGCAAACAGGAUUAGAUACCCUGGUAGUCCACGCCGUAAACGAUGAGUGCUAGGUGUUAGGCCCUUUCCGGGGCUUAGUGCCGCAGCUAACGCAUUAAGCACUCCGCCUGGGGAGUACGACCGCAAGGUUGAAACUCAAAGGAAUUGACGGGGGCCCGCACAAGCGGUGGAACAUGUGGUUUAAUUCGAAGCAACGCGAAGAACCUUACCAGGUCUUGACAUCCCGAUGCUAUUCCUAGAGAUAGGAAGUUUCUUCGGAACAUCGGUGACAGGUGGUGCAUGGUUGUCGUCAGCUCGUGUCCUGAGAUGUUGGGUUAAGUCCCGCAACGACCGCAACCCCUAUUGUUAGUUGCCAUCAUUAAGUUGGGCACUCUAGCGAGACUGCCCGUUAUAAACCGAAGAAAAGUUGGGGAUGAAGUCCAAUCAUCAAGCCCCCUAAAAACCGGGGCAACAACCGUGCUACAAUGGUUGGUUAAACAAAUUCCGCAGUCGUUUACGGCCCGCAAAUCUCU